rnacentral:lncRNA from 1 species
GCCCUGUGUUUGUCAUGCUUCCGACUCCCACAUGCGCUUUUUGGAACAAACUAUCAUGCAGACUGCUCAAAACUGUGGACGCCUCACAUCCAAAUCCAUAAUAAAGAUGCCAAGCUGGUUCAGCAAAUGUCAGAGAUUUCUGAUGUCAUGGAGAAAGAAAAAAAAAAUCCUUAAAUAUUUGAAUGUUGAAUGAAUAUACUAAUUAAAUACACAGAGAAACAAACUUGGUCAAAAUGCCUCUCCCUCCCUGUGGUCGAGUGGGCAGACUAGGAUCACGCCUGGGUCCGGGUGCCUCUGGAGACCUCACAGACAGUCCAUGCACAGCUCGGGAGAGGUGCUUCCCUCU